GCAGAAAAUUAUGAGGGAACAUCUACAUCAAAGUAAUGGCAUUCCAUACAAAUAAAAAUCCAAUGGGAUCAAGUUCUUAGCAGUCCCAGCCCAGUCAGAAGUACAAAGUCAACUACCAUUUACACAUCACCAAGAGUUACAAUCUGAUGAGGAACAGGAUAUUUGAACUGAAAACUUGUAAGGUUCCGCAGGCAGUUUGAGUAUCACCAGGGCAGAUUAUAAGAAGAAAUAUGGAGGCCAAGUUCAUAACAAGUAGCUACUUCAUCACAAGUACACAUUUUAAAAAUUGAAUGAAUUUGAAUAAACAUGUCAAUACAUAUUGAAUGUUGCUUGAACUACACAUCUGUAGAAAAAAAAUUGGAGUAUUGAUAUUUAGGUCCAUAGGUUUCACACAAGAUUGAAAUAUUUUCCCAAAGGGCACACCUACCCACCCUAUAUUAAUGUUCUAAUC